rnacentral:rRNA from 1 species
UACGUAGGGUGCAAGCGUUAUUCGGAUUCACUGGGCGUAAAGGGCGCGCAGGCGGCCGUGUGUGUGAGGCGUGAAAGCCUGGAGCUUAACUCCAGAAUUGCACCUCAAACUACAUGGCUAGAGCAUUGGAGAGGGUAGCAGAAUUCACGGUGUAGCAGUGAAAUGCGUAGAUAUCGUGAGGAAUACCAGAGGCGAAGGCGGCUACCUGGACAAUUGCUGACGCUCAGGCACGAAAGCGUGGGGAGCAAAAGGG